UACGUAGGGACCAAGCGUUGUUCGGAUUUACUGGGCGUAAAGGGCGCGUAGGCGGCAAUUCAAGUCAGCUGUGAAAUCUCCGGGCUUAACUCGGAACGGUCAGCUGAUACUGUUUUGCUAGAGUGCAGAAGGGGCAAUCGGAAUUCUCGGUGUAGCGGUGAAAUGCGUAGAUAUCGAGAGGAACACCUGAGGUGAAGACGGGUUGCUGGGCUGACACUGACGCUGAUGACGCGAAAGCCAGGGUAGCAAACGGG
rnacentral:rRNA from 1 species